AACGAACGCUGGCGGCAGGCCUAACACAUGCAAGUCGAGCGAGGACUUCGGUUCUAGCGGCGGACGGGUGAGUAACGCGGGGGAAUGUGCCCUUCUCUACGGAAUAGCCCUGGGAAACUGGGAGUAAUACCGUAUACGCCCUAUUGGGGAAAGAUUUAUCGGAGAAGGAUCAGCCCGCGUUGGAUUAGGUAGUUGGUGGGGUAAUGGCCUACCAAGCCGACGAUCCAUAGCUGGUUUGAGAGGAUGAUCAGCCACACUGGGACUGAGACACGGCCCAGACUCCUACGGGAGGCAGCAGUGGGGAAUCUUAGACAAUGGGGGCAACCCUGAUCUAGCCAUGCCGCGUGAGUGAUGAAGGCCUUAGGGUUGUAAAGCUCUUUCAGCUGGGAAGAUAAUGACGGUACCAGCAGAAGAAGCCCCGGCUAACUCCGUG
rnacentral:rRNA from 1 species